UGAAGAGGAAUGGUGUCACUCCGUGUGGGUUGAAGCCUUUGUGGUCAUCUCAGUUGGGACAAAACACUACAGAGGUGUAGCUGCAUCUUGGCAGGUGAGAUGAACAUAGAAAAUGAGGAAGUCCUUUGGAGGAUGAGCUGCUGGGAAUAGCCUGACUUCUGGGAAGAAAUCUGGUGCCAAGGGCUGGCUGUAUCAGGUUCUUCAAGUGGAGUCUCUGACCUUCAGGGAGAAAAGGGGAAGAAAGAGCCACCUGCCAGCGCAGUAAGUUCACCGGAUUCUUCCAUCACCAUCCCAUGUCAGUGUUUUGGGUCUAAUGUUCUGUGGCUUCAGAAUUAUCACCCGUAUGUAUAUUCCAAAAGUGCAAUUCUACUAUAAAGUCAUCCUGCAGGGAGCUCUUGAGGCUUUCACAACCUCAUUUACACAGCAAUAAAUUCCCAAAUCUCA